rnacentral:rRNA from 1 species
GUGGCGAACGGGUGAGUAACACGUAGGAAUCUACCCUUAAGACGGGGACAACCCAGGGAAACUUGGGCUAAUACCGGAUGAGAGUGCGAGAGAUUGCAUUUAAAAGGAUGGCGAAAGUUGUCGCUUAGGGAUGAGCCUGCGGUCUAUUAGUUAGUUGGUGAGGUAAGAGCUCACCAAGGCGAUGAUAGAUAGGCGGCCUUAACGGGUGGUCGCCCACACUGGGAUUGAGAUACGGCCCAGACUCCUACGGGAGGCAGCAGUCGAGGAUAGUCUACAAUGGCCGGAAGGCGUGAUAGUGCGACGCCGCGUGAACGAGGGAGCCCUUCGGGGUGUAAAGUUCUUUUCUAUACGAGCAGUGCUAUAUAUAUGGAUAGUAUAUAUAGAGGGAUAGUAGUAUAGGAAUAAGCAACGGCUAACUCCGUGCCAGCAGCCGCGGUAACACGGGGGUUGCGAGCGUUGUCCGGAAUUACUAGGCGUAAAGGGCAGGUAGGCGGAUCUACGAGUUUUUUGUUAAAGGCUACGGCUCAACUGUAGUAGACAGGAGAUACUGUAGGUCUGGAAUGCGGUAGGGAAGACAGAAUUCCUGGUGUAGCGGUGGAAUGCGCAGAGAUCAGGAGGAAUACCGAAGGCGAAGGCAGUCUUCUAGGCCGUAAUUGACGCUUAACUGCGAAGGUGUGGGGAUCAAACAGGAUUAGAUACCCUGGUAGUCCACACAGUAAACGAUAAUCACCAGAUGUCGGGUUCUAUAUGGAUUCGGUGUCGGACUAACGCGAUAAGUGAUUCGCCUGGGGAGUACGAUCGCAAGGUUGAAACUCAAAGGAAUUGACGGGGGCCCGCACAAGCGGUGGAGCAUGUGGUUUAAUUCGAGGCAACGCGAAGAACCUUACCCGGUUUUGACAUCCACGGGAGGCUUCAGAGAUGGAGCUGUGCCGGCGUAAGCUGGAGCCGUGAGACAGGUGCUGCAUGGCUGUCGUCAGCUCGUGUCGUGAGAUGUUGGGUUAAGUCCCGCAACGAGCGCAACCCUUGCCUUCAGUUACCAUCGUUAAGUUGGGGACUCUAGAGGGACCGCUGCGGUAACAACGCAGAGGAAGAUGGGGACGACGUCAAGUCAUCAUGGUCCUUAUGGCCGGGGCUACACACGUGCUACAAUGGCAGUUACAGAGGGAUGCGAUUCAGUAAUGAGGAGCGAAACUCAGAAAAGUGCCGCAGUUCGGAUUGAGGUCUGCAACUCGGCCUCAUGAAGUCGGAAUCGCUAGUAAUCGCGCAACAUCAUGGCGCGGUGAAUACGUUCCCGGGCC